AUUCUCCUGCCCAAGACAGAUGCUGGUUAGACUCAUGCCGGUGUCUGAGAUGAACCUAGUACAUAGGAUACACCAUGAAAGACCUGAUUAACAGCACCCUCAUUCAGCACGAAGUAGUUUGGAGA